GGAAGGCAGCAGGCGCGCAAAUUACCCACUCCCAGAACGGGGAGGUAGUGACGAAAAAUAACAAUACGGGACUCUUUUGAGACCCCGUAAUUGGAAUGAGUACACUCUAAAUCCUUUAACGAGGAUCCAUUGGAGAGCAAGUCUGGUGCCAGCAGUCGCGGUAAUUCCAGCUCCAAUAGCGUAUAUUAAAGUUGUUGCGGUUAAAAAGCUCGUAGUUGGAUCUCAGAUCCGGCCGGACGGUCCGCCUACCGGUGGUUACUGUUCGUUGCCGAUCGUUCAGGCGGUUAUUCUUGAUGAUCUUCACCGGUUGUCUCGGGUGACCGCCAAGUUUACUUUGAAAAAAUUAGAGUGCUCAAAGCAGGCGUGACGCCUGAAUAAUUGUGCAUGGAAUAAUGGAAUAGGACCUCGGUUCUAUUUUGUUGGUUUUCGGAACACGAGGUAAUGAUUAAGAGGGACAGACGGGGGCAUUCGUAUUGCGACGCUAGAGGUGAAAUUCUUGGACCGUCGCAAGACGAACUACUGCGAAAGCAUUUGCCAAGAAUGUUUCCAUUAAUCAAGAACGAAAGUUAGAGGUUCGAAGGCGAUCAGAUACCGCCCUAGUUCUAACCAUAAACGAUGCCAGCCAGCGAUCCGGCUGUGUUCCUCAAAUGACACGCCGGGCAGCUUCCGGGAAACCAAAGCUUUUGGGUUCC
rnacentral:rRNA from 1 species